CAUAUACUCCCUCCGUCCGAAAAUAGUUGUCAUCAAAAUGGACAAAAAGGGAUGUAUCUAGAACUAAAAUACAUCUAGAUACAUCCCAUUUUAUUUAUUUUGAUGACAAGUAUUUCCGGACAGAGGGAGUAGUAU
rnacentral:pre_miRNA from 1 species